rnacentral:lncRNA from 1 species
AAGAAGUGGUGAUCUCAUUGCUAAUGUCAUUAUUUUGGACUAGCACUUGAUUUGGAAGAGAUCUAGACAUUGAUUUAUCUGAGAAAAUUUAUACCAAGAGCAUGAAUAUCUUCCUUGUAAACAUUUAUUAAUCCAGAUAUGUUCCUGCUUUACCAACCAUUUAUAUUUUGAGUCAAAUAAGAUAAUAACUGUAAGUUUUUGAACAAGAUCUGUGGCCUGCUAUGAUUUACAGUGCCAAUCUUCUUAGCCUAGUGCCUGAUACAUAAAUCACUGGAUGUAUAUUAAUUAUAAUCUUA